UUGGUGGCGGACGGGUGAGUAACGCGUGGAAAACCUGCCGUAUACUGGGGGAUAACACUUAGAAAUAGGUGCUAAUACCGCAUAAGCGCACAGCUUCGCAUGAAGCGGUGUGAAAAACUCUGGUGGUAUACGAUGGUUCCGCGUCUGAUUAACUAGUUGGUGGGGUAAUGGCCUACCAAGGCAACGAUCAGUAGCCGGCCUGAGAGGGUGAACGGCCACAUUGGGACUGAGACACGGCCCAAACUCCUACGGGAGGCAGCAG
rnacentral:rRNA from 1 species